rnacentral:rRNA from 1 species
UGNANUUUGNNAGGAUGCUUUUGGUGAGGUGCCUUCUGAGUUCCCUGGAACGGGACGCCAGAGAGGGUGAGAGCCCCGUAUAGUCGGCCACCGAUCCUCUGUAAAGCUCCUUCGACGAGUCGAGUAGUUUGGGAAUGCUGCUCAAAAUGGGAGGUAUAUCUCUUCUAAAGCUAAAUAUUGGCCAGAGACCGAUAGCGCACAAGUAGAGUGAUCGAAAGAUGAAAAGCACUUUGAAAAGAGGGUUAAAUAGCNNGUGAAAUUGUUGAAAGGGAAGCGCUUGUGACCAGACUUGUGCCGGGCUGAUCAUCCAGUGUUCUCACUGGUGCACUCGACCCGGCUCAGGCCAGCGUCGGUUCUCGCGGGGGGGGAUAAAGCUUCGGGAACGUGGCACCUCCGGGUGUGUUAUAGCCCGCUGCUUAAUACUUCGCGGGACCNAGNUCCCNCUCUGCAGGACCUGGCAUAUGGUCAUCACNACC